GAUGAACGCUGGCGGCGUGCCUAAUACAUGCAAGUCGAGCGAACGGACGAGAAGCUUGCUUCUCUGAUGUUAGCGGCGGACGGGUGAGUAACACGUGGAUAACCUACCUAUAAGACUGGGAUAACUUCGGGAAACCGGAGCUAAUACCGGAUAAUAUUUUGAACCGCAUGAUUCAAAAGUGAAAGACGGUCUUGCUGUCACUUAUAGAUGGAUCCGCGCUGCAUUUAGCUAGUUGGUAAGGUAAUGGCUUACCAAGGCGAUGAUGCAUAGCCGAGUUGAGAGACUGAUCGGCCACAAUGGAACUGAGACACGGUCCAGU
rnacentral:rRNA from 1 species